GAGACCUAAGAUGGCGGCGUUUGCAUAAUAUGAAAGCGAUGCAGGCGUACCAGAUUGGAGAGGCAGGCAAAGGAUGUAUCUGCUAAGGAAGGUUCGGGAACUCGCCAAUACUUGUGGCCUCUCUAUUCCCUGAAAAACAAUAAUGAAGUUAGGCCAGUGAAUACCCUACAGUGGUUCAAGUGAAAGGAGGAAAAAUCACACAUCUCUCACUUUAAAUCAAAGGUAGAUCACAUCCAAAAAAUAAAAUACCUAGAAUAAACCUACCAAAGGAGGCAAAAGACCUGUAUUCCAAAAACUCUUAAGAAGCUGAUGGAAUAAAUUGAAGAUGACACAAACAGAUGGAAGAAAUACCAUGUUCUUGGAUUGCAAGAAUCAGUAUUGUCAAAGUGACCAUACUGCCCAAGACAAUCUAAAUUUUCAGUGCAAUCCCUAUCAAAAUUAUCAAUGGCAUUUUUCUCAGAAGUGGAACAAAAUUUUUAAAAAUUUUAUGGAAACAUAAAAGACCUUGAAUAGCCAAAACAAUCUUGAGAAAGAAGAACAGAACUGGAGGAAUCGUGCUCCUUGACUUCAGACUAUACUACAAAGCUACAGUAUUCAAAACAGAAUGAUAUUGGGAGGAUGGAACCAGACAUAUUAUAGAUCAAUGGAUAGAAAGCCCAGAAAUAAACCCAUGCCCUUUGGUCAAUUAAUCUACAACAAAGGAGGCAAGAACAUACAAUGGAAAAAAGACAGUCUCUUCAAUAAACCAUGCUGGGAAAAUUGGACAGCUACAUGUGAAAGAAUGGCACAAUGAAUUAAGUAUACAGUGUUGUCACUGCAGCGUCUCAGGUCACUGCUGUGGCGUGGGUUUGAUCCCUGGCCUGGGAACUUCUAUAUGCCAUGGGUGUGGCCAAAAAGACAACCAAAAUCCUCCCAAAUAACCAUGAGAUACCACUUCAUACUGUGCCUAUAAAAUGGAAAAUAACAAAUGUCAGUAAUGAUGUGGAAAAGUUAAAAUUUUUGUUCCUUUCGGAGUUCCUGUCAUGGCUCAGUGGUUAACGAAUCCAACUAGGAACCAUGAGGUUGUGGGUUUGACCCCUGGCCUCGCUCAGUGGGUUAAGGAUCCAGCGUUGCUGUGGCUGUGGUGUAGGCUGGUGGCUACAGCUCCGAUUCGACCCCUAGCCUGGGAACCUCCACAUGCUGCAAGUGUGGCCCUAAAAGCAAAAAAAAAAAAAAAAAAAAAAAAAUUGUUCUUUUUAUGGGGGACAUCAAACAGUGAGGCUACUGUGAAGAACAGUAUUGUAGUUCCUAAAAAAUUUAAAUAGAGAAUUUUUGUGACCCCAGUUCCAUACCAUGUAUAGUCCUAAGUUAAAGGAAUAAUGUUCAAGUAAACAUUUUGUAUGGAAAUAUGUACAGCCACAACUAUUUGCCAUAGGCAAAGGGUGAAAUUGUUUCAAAUAUCCAUGAGUAGAUGAAUGGCUAAAGAAAGUGGUAUAUUCAUAAAAUGCAGUAUUAUUCAUCCAUAAAUAGGAAUCAAUUACAGAUACAUAGUAUGUCAUGGAUGUUCAUCUUAAUCAUUGUGCUAAGUGAAAGAAACCAGACACAUAAGGGCCUUAUUCUAUUUACAUGGAAUAUGAAGAAGAGGUAAAUCGGUAGGGGCAAAGCAGAUUAGUGGUUGUCAGUGACUAGAGAGGGUACAGGGAAUGGAGAAUGGAGAAUUUUGACCAUAGUGAUGAUUGCACAAAGGCCCCUGAAUUGUAUUAAAAUGGUGAGUUUCAUGUAUGUGAAUUUUACCUCAUUUUUAAAAAUAAAGGAAUUAAUCAUUUAAAAAAAAUAGGUGGUGGGCAAGAUAUAGCUCCCUGGGUAUAGUUUAUUGACUCUUGGUAUUGUUUAUUCAUGGCUAUUUGCAUUGCAACAUAUUUAUUACAAAUAUUUUUUAAUGAGACAGUCUAAAGACAUAUUUAGAAUGUAGUAGGAUAUAAGUUGUCACAAAAUGCUGGCUUUCAAAAUUUAUAUACAAAUCAUUAGAAUCAAUAUGCUGUUAGCCCUGUAGAGGAUUGGCAAAGACUUGAGCAUGUCCCACAUAAACCACAGUGGUAGGUCCUCAAGUUCAUUUGGCAACAGAGAAACAGCAAAAAUUAUAAGCAGUCCUAAUGUAUACUUUCUAGAAUGGGUCCAAUAAAAUGGAUUGAGGAUUCUAAAUAUUGGUGAGUAUUUUACUAACCAGUAUCUUUCACACAGGGAUGGUGUGAGUAUAAUUGGGGAUAGUCACAUUGGAAAACUUUUCAUGAUACGCCAUAAUACUGAACAUGCUCAUAUUUUCUGACUUAGAAAUUUCACUACAGUGUAUAUGCUUAUAAAGAUUGAUGUGUAUAUGUUCCCUAAAGACAUGUUAAUGUCUGUAGCAUUAUUAUUCUUAAUGGCUCUAAGCUGGAAAACAUGCAAAUGACUGUCAACAGAAUAGACACAUCAAUGGUAGUGGUGUUUCCUUUUUGUGGAUUACUACACAUUAUUGAAAUAGAACGAACUGCAACUACAUGUUAUGCAGCUAUCUCCUAUUAUUUUCAGCAAAGGAGCAGAAUGUAUUAACCAAAAGUUGGAAUAGUGGUUCAUCUGGGUAAAAAUGUAAUUAAUUAUAGCAGUGCACAUGUCACUUUAAUGAUGCUAAUAAUUUUUUCAAGUUUGUUAAAUUAUUCUUUGUGUACGUAUAUAAUUUAUACAGUCUUCUGUGUAUCAUAUUUUAUAAUAUAAUAAAAAUAAAAUUUCACUCAAAUACCAAUUUUUGAGGAUCCUUCUCAGGAUGUAUGGGUAUACCUUGGAGAUAUGUGGGUUCAGUUCCAGACAACCACAGUAAAGUAAAUAUCACAAUAAUUUGAGUUACAUGAGUUUUGUUGAUUUACUAGUGCACAUAAAAGUCAAGUUUGCACUGUACUGUAGUUUCUUCUGUACAAUAGCAUCAUGUCUAAAAAAAAAGUACAUACCUUAAUUUAAAAAUUUUUGGAGUUCCUGUCGUGGUUCAGUGGAAAUGAAUCCAACUAGGAACCAUGAGGUUGUGGGUUCGAUCCCUGGCCUCCACUCAGCUGGUUAAGGAUCUGGUGUUGCUGUGAACUGUGGUGUAGGUCGCAGACGUGACUCGGAUCUGGUGUUGCUGUGGCUGGCAUAGGCCAGCAGCUACUGCUCCAAUUAGACCCCUAGCCUGGGAACCUCCAUAUGCCGUGGGUGCGGCCCUAAAAAUGACAGAAAUGAAAAUUCAUUGCUGAAAAAUGCUAAGCAUCAUCUGAGCCUUUAUCAAGUUAGUCGUGACAUCAAAAAUUACUGAUCAUCCUAAGAAAUAUAAUUGCAAAAAAGUUUUAAGUAUAUACUUCUGAAGUUUCUCCUAAUGGCAUACAGCAAAUGAUGAAAUACUUAAGAGUUUUCUUGAAACUGAAGAGCAAGAUUGUGUGACAUUCAAACUACCACUCACUCAUUCUUCCCAUUUCAACUCAUUAGGAUGACUCUACUCUAAGUAUUGGAGCCAAAAAUAAAAAUAUCUCUGUCUUUUAGCUAGCAGUUCAGGUCUGAAGUCCAGAAAGGGAUGAUGCCAAAAUUUCUUAUUCUCCAGCUCAGUUUUGUAGAUCCUCAGUUCCACACAAUUGCAGCUAACAGGAUGAAGAUUUAUUCCUCUCCUCCCCACUCAGACACAUUGAAUAGGAGCUCUUCCUCAGGUUUAGUAUCCUUAGAAUACUGAACCCCCUGUCUUCACCGUAGGUCAUUUGUACCUUUGAAGUUCCAUAUUAGGUGGGGCAAAUUGAGAACACAGCAAUCCCCCAGUUUAAUACUUAAAAAUCUGUAUUGUCACUUUGAGGACAGGUUGUCACUAUCUCUCUAGCUCUUUGGAUCUGGGUGACAGAUUCUGUUAAGUAGGACAGGCAGAACAUAAAAAUAGAGAGCCCUGAAGCCCUCCCUAAUGCACCUACUUUUAUUUUAUUUUAUUUUACUUUAUUAUUUUACUUUUAUAUUUUUAUAACUGCACCUGAGGCACAUAAAAGUUCCUGGGCUAGGAGUUGAAUUGAAGCUAUAGCUGCAGGCCUAUGCCACAGUCACAGCAAUGUUGGAUAUGAGCCACAUCUGCAACCUCUGCCACAGCUUGCGGCAGUGCUGGAUCCUUAACCCACUGAGCAAGGCCGGGGAAUUGAACCUGCAUCCUUAUGGACACUAUGUUGGGUUCCUAACCCACAAUGGGAACUCCCUAAACUACCGUUAUUUUAAAGAGUAUGGUGACAUUGAAGCCUAUGGGCAAACCCCGAAAUGGUAGAUAUUUCAGUAGUAAGUAAUUAGAUAGCUGGUACUUCAUGAGCGCAACUUGCCUAACUGUAGGCUAGCUAAUUUUCCACAGAGAACCAUGAAAAGCAUUGAGAGCAUUCCUUUUGUCUGAACAAAUACUGGCAUCACUCACUACCACUGCAGUGGGCCUGAAUUUAACUGUAUUAGGAUAUUUAGUAAUAUAUGUUAUAAAUCAUAGAAAAAUGAACUUGUAUUUAGUGUAGCCAACAGCUCAAUUUGUUCAAGACUAGAGACCACUUGACUCCUUGUAUAUUUGUCAUUCCAGGAUAACUGGACAUUUCCAGGGCUAAACCCUCUGAGAAGCAAUAUCAUAAGCUUAACAUUGUGUGAGAAAUAGACUUCAGUAAGAGUCCAAUGAAUCACUAAACAUUAAAAAUUUAACUGAUAACUACCAUCCCUGGAGUUGUGCUUAACUAGCCAAUAUUGCUACCAUCAUUUAUGUCUUUUUUCCAACUGCAAAAAAAAUUGAGACAUGCAAAAAAAAAAAAAAA
rnacentral:lncRNA from 1 species